GACUCAGUAGUUGAGGGGUACAAUUUCCGCCUGCCAAUUUCUUUCUCUCCCAGUGCCGCAACGACACCCAGUGCGCGGGAGGCCCGGGUUCAAAUCCCGGCUGAGUCA
rfam:Salpingoeca sp. ATCC 50818 unplaced genomic scaffold supercont1.35, whole genome shotgun sequence.